AUGUAGACCUCUUCUCUGAUUACCUACAGAGUAUCAAGGAUUAACCUCUUUCCUGAGAUCCCUUGGACCUGUCUAAGUUCGUGGCUCCUCCUCUGGGUUUCCUCCACCGCAACACAUCCAUGUUGGAGUUUGGCUCCUUGAGACAGGUGAUAGCAGCUCUUGAAGUACAAGUGACCUGCUGACCUGGGCCUCCUGAUCUGUAAGAGUGAGCUGGUCUGGCAGUGGCUGAAUAAGGGAUGACCGAGGCAGCAGACACGGAAGACCUAGUAUCAAGUGGAAAAAAAUCUGCAUAGCAGGUCUGCUAUAAAAAAAUCACCAAGUGGAGUUUUCAUCAGCCUCAACUCCCUGGUUUGUACAGGGCUACUUA